rnacentral:rRNA from 1 species
UCCACGCCCUAAACGAUGAACACUAGUCGUCGGGAUGCUAGUCAUCUCGGUGAUGCACUUAACAGAUUAAGUGUUCCGCCUGGGGAGUACGGUCGCAAGAUUAAAACUCAAAGGAAUAGACGGGGACCCGCACAAGUGGUGCAGCACCUGUUUUCAGCUCGUGUCGUGAGAUGUUGGGUUAAGUCCCGCAACGAGCGCAACCCUCGUCCUUAGUUACCAGCAGGUUAUGCUGGGCACUCUAAGGAGACUGCCUUCGUAAGGAGGAGGAAGGUGAGGACGACGUCAAGUCAUCAUGGCCCUUAUGGCUAGGGCUACACACGUGCUACAAUGGGGCGUACAG